UCUUUCUUGCACCAGAUCCAAGAAUUCUCUCUUGGGAUCUGGAUCGGACCCCUUUCCUGUAACAGAAUUACAGGAGUGAGCCACAGCACCUGGCCUGGAAUUUCCACGCACGAUUUGGUGAUUGCGUGAGGUUCCAUCGCAGGCUGUCAGCACCUCUGCAUACAGGCCAGCAGGCUGUGUG
rnacentral:lncRNA from 1 species